rnacentral:rRNA from 1 species
AGAGUUUGAUCAUGGCUCAGGAUGAACGCUAGCGGCAGGCCUAACACAUGCAAGUCGAGGGGCAGCACGGGUAGCAAUACUUGGUGGCGACCGGCGCACGGGUGAGUAACGCGUAUGCAACCUUCCCCUAACUGGGACAUAGCCCGUCGAAAGACGGAUUAAUUUCCCAUAACACUGUGACAUGGCAUCAUGUUACAGUUAAAACUCCGGUGGUUAGGGAUGGGCAUGCGUGUCAUUAGCUAGUUGGUAGGGUAACGGCCUACCAAGGCUACGAUGACUAGGGGUUCUGAGAGGAUGAUCCCCCACACUGGAACUGAGACACGGUCCAGACUCCUACGGGAGGCAGCAGUGAGGAAUAUUGGUCAAUGGACGCAAGUCUGAACCAGCCAUGCCGCGUGAAGGAUGACUGCCCUAUGGGUUGUAAACUUCUUUUUUACGGGACGAAACUGAGCUACGUGUAGCUUACUGACGGUACCGUAUGAAUAAGCAACGGCUAACUCCGUGCCAGCAGCCGCGGUAAUACGGAGGUUGCAAGCGUUAUCCGGAUUUAUUGGGUUUAAAGGGUGCGUAGGCGGGGAAAUAAGUCAGUGGUGAAAUCCUGCAGCUUAACUGUAGAACUGCCAUUGAUACUGUUUUUCUUGAGUCUAGUUGAGGUGGGCGGAAUGUGUAAUGUAGCGGUGAAAUGCUUAGAUAUUACACAGAACACCGAUUGCGUAGGCAGCUCACUAAACUAUAACUGACGCUGAGGCACGAAAGCGUGGGGAGCAAACAGGAUUAGAUACCCUAGUAGUCC